UACGAAGGUUGCAAGCGUUACUCGGAAUUACUAGGCGUAAAGGGCAUGUAGGUGGUUUGGUAAGUCUAUUGUGAAAGCUCCCGGCUUAACUGGGAGAGGCCAAUGGAUACUGCCAAGCUUGAGUAUAGGAGAGGUUACUGGAAUUCCCGGUGUAGCGGUGAAAUGCGCAGAUAUCGGGAGGAACACCAAUGGCGAAAGCAGGUAACUGGACUAUUACUGACACUCAACUGCGAAAGCUAGGGGAGCAAACAGG
rnacentral:rRNA from 1 species